AACGCGAAGAACCUUACCAAGGUUUGACAUCCCUCUGAAAGGUGCAGAGAUGCAUCCGGCUCCUUCGGGAGACAGAGGAGACAGGUGGUGCAUGGUUGUCGUCAGCUCGUGUCGUGAGAUGUUGGGUUAAGUCCCACAACGAGCGCAACCCUUAUCGUUAGUAGCCAGCAAGUAAAGUUGGGGACUCUAGCGAGACUGCCGUGGAUAACACGGAGGAAGGCGGGGACGACGUCAAAUCAUCAUGCCCCUUAUAUCUUGGGCAACACACGUGCUACAAUGGCUCAAACAAAGUGAAGCGAGACAGUGAUGUUAAGCAAAACACAAAAAAGGAGUCCCAGUUCGGAUUGUAGUCUGCAACCCGACCACAUGGAGUUGGAAUCGCUAGUAAUCGCGGAUCAGCAUGCCGCGGUGAAUACGUUCCCGGGUCUUGUACACACCG
rnacentral:rRNA from 1 species